AUUAUACAAUUGUAAACACUAAACAAAAUAAA
rnacentral:sRNA from 1 species